rnacentral:rRNA from 1 species
GAUGAACGCUGGCGGCGCGCCUAACACAUGCAAGUCGAACGGCACCCCUCUCCGGAGGGAAGCGAGUGGCGAACGGCUGAGUAACACGUGGAGAACCUGCCCCCUCCCCCGGGAUAGCCGCCCGAAAGGACGGGUAAUACCGGAUACCCCGGGGUGCCGCAUGGCACCCCGGCUAAAGCCCCGACGGGAGGGGAUGGCUCCGCGGCCCAUCAGGUAGACGGCGGGGUGACGGCCCACCGUGCCGACAACGGGUAGCCGGGUUGAGAGACCGACCGGCCAGAUUGGGACUGAGACACGGCCCAGACUCCUACGGGAGGCAGCAGUGGGGAAUCUUGCGCAAUGGGGGGAACCCUGACGCAGCGACGCCGCGUGCGGGACGGAGGCCUUCGGGUCGUAAACCGCUUUCAGCAGGGAAGAGUCAAGACUGUACC